AAAGCCAUUCUGCUUCUUCCUCUUUGGUUAGAAAACAGAGAGAGAUAAAACAAAACAAAAUAAAACAAAACAAAGGGUUGGCUUAUCUCUCUCUCUAAAAUCUAUCAAUGAAACCCUUUGUUUUCUAACACACGCCUCUACCCCUUCUUUGACUUCUCCCUUCCCCUCCCUUCCUCUCCAUACACACAGGGAAGAAGAAGUAACAGAAGAAGAGGCUGGGAAAAAGGAGUUUUUAGAGAGAAAAUCAAAGAGAGUGGUGAUAUAUUAUUAUUAUUAUUGUCAUCAUGGAGUCAACAACACCACAAGCAGUGGCAGCCAUUAAUGAGAAGGAGUCAAUGAUGGAUCCUUUCUUAGUUGAGGCUCUACAGAACCCACGUCACCGUCUCACCAUUUUGCGGAUGGAACUUGAUAUCCAGAGGUUUUUGCAAAACCCUGACCAACAACUAUUUGAAUUCCAGCAUUUCCCUACCUCCUAUCUUAGGCUUGCAGCACUCGCGUUGCUCAACACUAUGGGCUGAUAACCAUGGUACAGGAUAAUGGCAUUGAUGGUCUGGCAAAUAAGAUUCUGGUGCAAAAACCAGCUGAAUGCAGAUAUCCCGCGGUUCGCCUAUCUGAAAUUCCUGCUAAACAGUCGGGAAGUGAUACACCUGAGAUGAUUAAGCUUACAAUUAGACCCCGGCCUAACAAAGGGUCCAUAAAUGACCCUAACGGGUUCGGGAUCAAACGGAAUCCUGUGAGAAGUGUGGAAGAGAGGAAGGAGGAGUAUGAUAGGGCACGAGCUCGCAUCUUCAGUAGCCCUAGCAGCCCCACUGCAGACGAUACUGUGCCCCAGCUCCCUACAGAUAGCAAAAAUUUAAGUUCAAGCAAGGAUGAGAAUGAAGAGUGCAGGAUCUCUGUAGUUGAUCCAGAAAAAAAUGUCUUCGUAAGGGAUGGUAUGUCAUCUCGGGUUGCUAUUUUCAGAGAUAGGGAGAAGGAUCGCACUGACCCAGAUUAUGAUCGGAGUUAUGAAAGGUAUGUUAGGAGCCUUCCAGCUAAUCAGAGCUUUAGCUUGACACCAUUCAAUAUGCAGAAGAUUCCACUUCCUUAUAUGCAGUAUGAUCCCGGUUUUCCUCAGCUGGGUCAGAUGCCAAGGACACAAGCCUCCCUUGGCUACCACCCCGCUGCAAACCCAGCUAUGAGCCCCUUCUGUGCAAUGGGAUCAAAUCAGACUUCAAGGGAUGCUGCAUAUGUUCAAUGGCCAAGCACUGCAAUGAUGUAUGCACAUUCAUACGAUCAAUUUAGACAUGCUACUUUCCAGGCUUCAUUCUGUCAGCAACCUCUUAGCUUUGAUUACUCUCAAAACCAUUAAUGUCACAGCCAGAUGGGAAUUGCUGUGUUACUGAUUUACAUGCAGAUUUCUCUAUACUAGGAAACUCCCUGUUGUUAGGAUUGUUCAAAGACUUCGUUAUAAACCUCUUUUAAUUCCAGUUCUAGGUGGUCUCUGCUUAUAUUGUUGAAUCUUAUUAAAAUUAGUAAGGAGUGUGUGUAAUGAUGAGACUAUUUUAUUUGCUCAUUCA